GAUGAACGCUGGCGGCGUGCCUAAUACAUGCAAGUCGAACGCAUAGCGAAAGGUGCUUGCACCUUUCAAGUGAGUGGCGAACGGGUGAGUAACACAUGGACAACCUGCCUCAAGGCUGGGGAUAACAUUUGGAAACAGAUGCUAAUACCGAAUAAAACUUAGUGUCGCAUGACACAAAGUUAAAAGGCGCUUCGGCGUCACCUAGAGAUGGAUCCGCGGUGCAUUAGUUAGUUGGUGGGGUAAAGGCCUACCAAGACAAUGAUGCAUAGCCGAGUUGAGAGACUGAUCGGCCACAUUGGGACUGAGACACGGCCCAAACUCCUACGGGAGGCUGCAGUAGGGAAUCUUCCACAAUGGGCGAAAGCCUGAUGGAGCAACGCCGCGUGUGUGAUGAAGGCUUUCGGGUCGUAAAGCACUGUUGUAUGGGAAGAACAGCUAGAAUAGGAAAUGAUUUUAGUUUGACGGUACCAUACCAGAAAGGGACGGCUAAAUACGUG
rnacentral:rRNA from 1 species